rnacentral:rRNA from 1 species
UUCCGCGCCGCAGCUAACGCAUUAAGUGCCCCGCCUGGGGAGUACGGCCGCAAGGCUAAAACUCAAAGGAAUUGACGGGGGCCCGCACAAGCGGCGGAGCAUGCGGAUUAAUUCGAUGCAACGCGAAGAACCUUACCAAGGCUUGACAUGUUCUCGAUCGCCGUAGAGAUACGGUUUCCCCUUUGGGGCGGGUUCACAGGUGGUGCAUGGUUGUCGUCAGCUCGUGUCGUGAGAUGUUGGGUUAAGUCCCGCAACGAGCGCAACCCUCGUUCCAUGUUGCCAGCACGUAAUGGUGGGGACUCAUGGGAGACUGCCGGGGUCAACUCGGAGGAAGGUGAGGACGACGUCAAAUCAUCAUGCCCCUUAUGUCUUGGGCUUCACGCAUGCUACAAUGGCCGGUACAAUGGGUUGCGAUACUGUGAGGUGGAGCUAAUCCCAAAAAGCCGGUCUCAGUUCGGAUUGGGGUCUGCAACUCGACCCCA